rnacentral:rRNA from 1 species
GACGAACGCUGGCGGCGUGCUUAACACAUGCAAGUCGAACGGAAAGGCCCUGCUUGCAGGGUACUCGAGUGGCGAACGGGUGAGUAACACGUGGGUGAUCUGCCCUGCACUUCGGGAUAAGCCCGGGAAACUGGGUCUAAUACCGGAUAGGAGCCAUUUUUAGUGUGAUGGUUGGAAAGUUUUUUCGGUGUAGGAUGAGCUCGCGGCCUAUCAGCUUGUUGGUGGGGUAAUGGCCUACCAAGGCGGCGACGGGUAGCCGGCCUGAGAGGGCGGACGGCCACAUUGGGACUGAGAUACGGCCCAGACUCCUACGGGAGGCAGCAGUGGGGAAUAUUGCACAAUGGGCGCAAGCCUGAUGCAGCGACGCCGCGUGGGGGAUGACGGCCUUCGGGUUGGAAACUCCUUUCGCUAGGGACGAAGCUUUUUGUGACGGUACCUAGAGAAGAAGCACCGGCUAACUACGUG